rnacentral:rRNA from 1 species
GAACGCUGGCGGCGUGCUUAACACAUGCAAGUCGAACGAGAACGGAUUAUAGCUUGCUAUAAUUGUCAGCUAAGUGGCGCACGGGUGAGUAAUGUAUAGAUAACCUGCCCUCUAGAAAGGAAUAACAGUUGGAAACGACUGCUAAUGCCCUAUAUGCCUUUAAUACAUAAGUAUGCAAGGGAAACGCUUUAGUGCUAGAGGAUGGGUCUGUAUGGUAUCAGUUAGUUGGUGAGGUAAUGGCUCACCAAGACAAUGACGCCUAACUGGUUUGAGAGGAUGAUCAGUCACACUGGAACUGAGACACGGUCCAGACUCCUACGGGAGGCAGCAGUAAGGAAUAUUGGACAAUGGGCGCAAGCCUGAUCCAGCCAUCCCGCGUGCAGGAUGACAGCCCUACGGGUUGUAAACUGUCUUUUGUUAGGGAAGAAACCCCUCGAUUUAUCGGGGGCUGACGGUACCUUUCGAAUAAGCACCGGCUAACUCCGUG